AUGGCCGAGUGGUCUAAGGCGCCAGACUCAAGUUCUGGUCCUCUAACGAGGGCGUGGGUUCAAACCCCACUUCUGACAAUUGUUUUUGCUUUUUUCCUUGCUUACUUUUUUCCUUGCUUAAAUUUACUUCAACAAUUACAUCAAACCCCACUUCCGACAAUUGUUUUUGCUUUUUUCCUUGCUUAA
rnacentral:rRNA from 1 species